rnacentral:rRNA from 1 species
GACGAACGCUGGCGGCGUGCUUAACACAUGCAAGUCGAACGGAAAGGCCCUGCUUUUGUGGGGUGCUCGAGUGGCGAACGGGUGAGUAACACGUGAGUAACCUGCCCUUGACUUUGGGAUAACUUCAGGAAACUGGGGCUAAUACCGGAUAGGAGCUCCUGCUGCAUGGUGGGGGUUGGAAAGUUUCGGUGGUUGGGGAUGGACUCGCGGCUUAUCAGCUUGUUGGUGGGGUAGUGGCUUACCAAGGCUUUGACGGGUAGCCGGCCUGCGAGGGUGACCGGCCACAUUGGGACUGAGAUACGGCCCAGACUCCUACGGGAGGCAGCAGUGGGGAAUAUUGCACAAUGGGCGGAAGCCUGAUGCAGCAACGCCGCGUGCGGGAUGACGGCCUUCGGGUUGUAAACCGCUUUCGCCUGUGACGAAGCGUGAGUGACGGUAAUGGGUAAAGAAGCACCGGCUAACUACGUG